rfam:Nicotiana attenuata strain TT chromosome 11, whole genome shotgun sequence.
UGGACAGAUUAUUGUAUUCGACUGUAUUCACGACGUGAAACAGGGGAUUACACUGUUUUUAAAUGAAAAGUGAAUCAAUUAACAUAAUCGACUCCU